GAGUUUGAUCGUGGCUCAGGAUGAACGCUGGCGGCGUGCUUAACACAUGCAAGUCGAACGAAGCGCCUUAUUUGAUUUUCUUCGGAACUGAAGAUUUGGUGACUGAGUGGCGGACGGGUGAGUAACGCGUGGGUAACCUGCCCUGUACAGGGGGAUAACAAUCAGAAAUGACUGCUAAUACCGCAUAAGACCACAGCACCGCAUGGUGCAGGGGUAAAAACUCCGGUGGUACAGGAUGGACCCGCGUCUGAUUAGCUGGUUGGUGAGGUAACGGCUCACCAAGGCGACGAUCAGUAGCCGGCUUGAGAGAGUGAACGGCCACAUUGGGACUGAGACACGGCCCAAACUCCUACGGGAGGCAGCAGUGGGGAAUAUUGCACAAUGGGGGAAACCCUGAUGCAGCAACGCCGCGUGAGUGAAGAAGUAUUUCGGUAUGUAAAGCUCUAUCAGCAGGGAAGAAAGUGACGGUACCUGACUAAGAAGCCCCGGCUAACUACGUGCCAGCCGCGCCGUAAC
rnacentral:rRNA from 1 species